AAUCUUAUUGGUGGAACGCGGUAAACCCCUCGAGUGAGCAACCCAAACAAAGGUAGGGGCGUUUUUUGCAGCGGAAUUCAACGCUAGCAAAAAGACAAUGUUUGCAUUGUAGAUAGAUGAUUAUCCAAGUUAUUUUGCUCCCUGUAAAAUGACUGGACAAAACAUGGCUUAUAGAA
rnacentral:RNase_P_RNA from 1 species